rnacentral:rRNA from 1 species
UACGACGGGGGCUAGCGUUGCUCGGAAUGACUGGGCGUAAAGGGCGCGUAGGAGGCUUACAUAGUUAGGCGUGAAAUUCCUGGGCUCAACCUGGGGACUGCGUCUAAUACAUGUAGGCUUGAGUGUGAAAGAGGGUCGUGGAAUUUCCAGUGUAGAGAUGAAAUUCGUAGAUAUUGGAAAGAACACCGGUGGCGAAGGCGGCGACCUGGUUCAUUACUGACGCUGAGGCGCGAAAGAGUGGGGAGCAAACAGG